ensembl:rRNA n-R5s155 nuclear encoded rRNA 5S 155
GUCUACAGCCAUACCAUCCUAAACGCACCACCCUAUCUCCUCUGACCUGGGAAGCUAAGCAGGGUCGGGCCUGGUUAGUACUUAGACGGGAGAAUACUAUUCAGCUAUUAAAA